AUUAGCAUAUCAUUAAGCGGAGGAAAAGAAACUAACAAGGAUUCCCCCAGUAACGGCGAGUGAAGCGGGAAGAGCUCAAGCUUAAAAUCUCCAUACUUGUAUGGCGAAUUGUAGUCUAUUGAGGCUGUUGUCAGCAUCGCGAUUGGGGACAAGUCCCUUGGAAAAGGGCAGCAUGGAGGGUGAUACUCCCGUCUCUGCUCCAAUUUGCGGUGUGUACGAUACGCUUUCUUUGAGUCGAGUUGUUUGGGAAUACAGCUCAAAGUAGGUGGUAAAUUCCAUCUAAAGCUAAAUAUUGGUGCAAGACCGAUAGCGAACAAGUACCGUGAGGGAAAGAUGAAAAGAACUUUGAAAAGAGAGUUAAAGAGUACCUGAAACUGUUGAAAGGGAACCGUAUCGUUUCCAGUGUUUUAUCUCGUGCAUAUUUCAUUCGCGGAGCAAUUUGCGGGUGCCCUGUGCAUGGGUGUGACGUCAGGGUCAGUUUGUAUGCUGCGGGAGAUGGUCAGUGAGGAGGUGCGUCACUUCGGUGAAAGUUAUAUCUCGCUGUCUAGUAGCCGUGGUUGAGACUGAGGUGCCUACAACAUGCCUUAAAGUUCCACGUUGUCUCGUGUUGGUGACUGCUUUGAUAGCUUGCUAUGUCUGUGGUUCAUCAAUGCGAUCGGUGGUGUGGAUAACUUUUGCUGUUCGGGACUCUGGCGAAAUGGAGCGAU
rnacentral:rRNA from 1 species